rnacentral:sRNA from 1 species
CGGACCGGGCCUAAGUUCCCU